rnacentral:lncRNA from 1 species
AUGGGUUUGCCUGGGGUCACUUGUGGCCUUAAGCACCGUGUCAUGACUAGAGGGUAGCCUCAGGUCAUGAUAGCCUUCUACUGCUAGCAUAUACAUAUCUCCAAACUUCUCAUCUUUAUAAUAUUCACUGGAAGAAUCUCCAUAUACUACCAGAGCUUGCUUUACUACAUAAUUAUCUGCAGCCUUCUUCUUGAAUUUUUAGGGACCUGGUCCCUGUUCUUUCCUUUGUCACCUCCUAUCUUGAGGUAUGCCU